rnacentral:lncRNA from 10 species
CUGACCCUGCACGUGGAUGUGGCCGGCAACGUGGUGGGCGUGUCGGUGGUGACGCACCCCGGGGGCUGCCGGGGCCAUGAGGUGGAGGACGUGGACCUGGAGCUGUUCAACACCUCGGUGCAGCUGCAGCCGCCCACCACAGCCCCAGGCCCUGAGACGGCGGCCUUCAUUGAGCGCCUGGAGAUGGAACAGGCCCAGAAGGCCAAGAACCCCCAGGAGCAGAAGUCCUUCUUCGCCAAAUACGAGCCAGAGGCACAGGAGGAACAAGUAGAGGGCGCCGAGGACGGCACACCCGAGGCGGGCACACCCGAGGCGGGCACACCCGAGGACGGCACACCCGUGGCGGGAGACGGAGUGUGUGAGGAGAGGCGAGGAGGCAUUUUGGGUGCAUACAGCAGCACCGGAGGAGCGUGAGCCCCAGGGGGCACGGACUUGUGUUUUUUUCUGCUGUGUCACUGAUGAGGAAACUGAGGCCCAGCAGUGAGAAACUGGCAUGAGGUGGCAGAGAACCAGGAGGCCUCCUGGGCUCUCGGCCCCACACACCAGGGUGUCUGGCCUGUAAGUAGAGACGGGGUUUCGCCCUGUUGGCCAGGCUGGUCUGGAAUUCCUGACCUCAAGUGAUCCACCCGCCUCAGCCUCCCAAAGUGUUGGGAUUACAGGUGUGAGCCACUGCGCCCGGCCAAAGAGUGAUGUUGGACAUUGUGAAUAGUGAAGAGGAACAUUCCAUGCUGGCAGAGAAGGAAGCCAUGCCGGGCAGAAAGAAGUACCUGGAAGCCCAGAGGCCGCACAGAAGGGCUCACGGGAGUGGAGAGUCUGGUUUGAGGGGGGCCGUGAGGGCUGAAGAUGCGGAGGCAGGCUCGGCCUCCGCUAUGAGGAGGGCCCUGAGUAGGGCGGGGGCGUGUUUAGGAUGGACUGGAGAGCUGUGACAGGGCCCAGAUAAGAGAUGCCUGAAGCUGGGUGAGCCUGUAAUCCCAGCUACUGGGGAGGCUGAGGUGGGAGGAUCACUUAAGCUCAGGAGUUCAAGACCAGCCAGACCUUGUCUCUAAAGAAAGAACCACUGGGCCGGGUGCAGUGGCUCACGCCUGUAAUCCUAGCACUUUGGGAGGCCGAGGCGGGUGGAUCACGAGGUCAGGAGAUUGAGACCAUCCCGGCUAACAUGGUGAAACCCCGUCUCUACUAAAAAUAC